rnacentral:rRNA from 1 species
CAGAUGGCGACCGGCGCACGGGUGAGUGACACGUAUCCAACCUGCCGCUUACUCGGGGAUAGCCUUUCGAAAGAAAGAUUAAUACCCGAUGGUAUAAAGAGUUCGCAUGUUCUCUUUAUUAAAGAAUUUCGGUAAGCGAUGGGGAUGCGUUCCAUUAGAUAGUUGGCGGGGUAACGGCCCACCAAGUCUACGAUGGAUAGGGGUUCUGAGAGGAAGGUCCCCCACAUUGGAACUGAGACACGGUCCAAACUCCUACGGGAGGCAGCAGGUGAGGAAUAUUGGUCAAUGGACGAGAGUCUGAACCAGCCAAAGUAGCGUGAAGGAUGACUGCCCUAUGGGUUGUAAACUUCUUUUAUAAGGGAAUAAAGUGAGGGACGUGUCCCUUUUUGUAUGUACCUUAUGAAUAAGGAUCGGCUAACUCCGUGCCAGCCGCCGC